rnacentral:rRNA from 1 species
UACAGAGGUGGCAAGCGUUGUUCGGAAUUACUGGGCGUAAAGGGCGCGUAGGCGGUUUUGUAAGUCCCGCGUGAAAUCCCCCGGCUCAACUGGGGAACUGCGUGGGAAACUGCGAGGCUUGAGUUCGGGAGAGGGAAGCGGAAUUCCGGGUGUAGCGGUGAAAUGCGUAGAUAUCCGGAGGAACACCGGUGGCGAAGGCGGCUUCCUGGACCGACACUGACGCUGAGGCGCGAAAGCCAGGGGAGCGAACGGG